CCAGGACCUGGGAGUCGGUGGCUGCCAGAGACAGCCCGAGAGACAUGUCCACAGCGUCAGCGGGCCCUGGAAGAGGACGGAGACCAUGGAGCGUGGUGAUGUCACUUCCUGCCAAAUGGAACCAUGGCCACAAGGAUGAUUAUGAUGCCUGCAGCACUCUGGUGACAUCACUUCCCGUGGGGGUGGAACCGUGGCCCAUGGAAAAUCCACACAUGAAUGUGGCAACAUCACUUCCUGCCAGGUGCAGCCGCUGUCCAAGGGGAGAUGAUUGUAACACCUACAUCAGUAUGGUGAUGUCACUUCCUGUGAGGGAGAGCUGUGGUCCAAGGCGGUUGUGGCAGCACUUCUAUCACUUGAUCACAUCACUUCCCGUGGAGUGGAGCCUCGGCCCACAGAGAACACCUACAUCAGUGUGUUGACAUCACUUCCUCCAAGUUGGAGUCAUGAUCCAACAGGGAACAUCUAUAUUAAAUGACAUCACUUCCUGCCAGUGGGAAGCCCAGCCCCAGCAGAACUUCUAUCUCCAUGUGGUGACAUCACUUCCUCCAUCUGAUGACCUCAUUGGGCGACAUCUCUUCCUGCCACAACCUCACUUCCUGCAAUGGGAGAUAGGGGCUCCUUCCACCUCCUCACUGGACCAUGUCUCCUCCUGCCAUGACCUCACUUCCUCCCACAGGAUCAGGCAUAGGGGUUACUUCCACCAAUACAGAGCUGAGUGACAUCUCUUCCUCAAACAACCUCACUUCCUCCCACAGGGUUGGGGACAGGGGUUACUUCCGCCAACGUGAAACUGGGCCAUACCUCUUCCUUGAACAACCUCACUUCCUCCCACGGAGUCAGGGAUAGAGUCCACUUCCACCAACACGGGACUGCGCCAUGUUUCUUCAUCUAAUGACCUCACUUCCUCCCACAGGGUUGAGAAUAAAAUCUACUGACUGGGCGACA